CCUACCGGCUGCACCAGUGGGGAAUAUUGCACAAUGGGCGCAAGCCUGAUGCAGCCAUGCCGCGUGUAUGAAGAAGGCCUUCGGGUUGUAAAGUACUUUCAGCGAGGAGGAAGGCAUUAAGGUUAAUAACCUUGGUGAUUGACGUUACUCGCAGAAGAAGCACCGGCUAACUCCGUGCCAGCAGCCGCGGUAAUACGGAGGGUGCAAGCGUUAAUCGGAAUUACUGGGCGUAAAGCGCACGCAGGCGGUCUGUCAAGUCGGAUGUGAAAUCCCCGGGCUCAACCUGGAACUGCAUUCGAAACUGGCAGGCUAGAGUCUUGUAGAGGGGGGUAGAAUUCCAGGUGUAGCGGUGAAAUGCGUAGAGAUCUGGAGGAAUACCGGUGGCGAAGGCGGCCCCCUGGACAAAGACUGACGCUCAUGCACGAAAGCGUGGGGAGCAAACAGGAUUAGAUACCCGCGUAGUC
rnacentral:rRNA from 1 species